rnacentral:misc_RNA from 1 species
UUUUCUUUCAAAGGCUACCUGCUACAGUAAACUGAGUUAACAUUCACAGAACUUUAGUAGCCACAAAAUUCUCUCUUUUUCUCAACUCUUUUCUUCCCUUGUUGCUGCGCAACUCUACCCCACAUCAUAACACUAGAGAACUAGAAAAAGAAUGGUAAAAUAAAUGCACAUUUGGAAAACUACCUAUUUUCACUUAAAAUUGGUCAAAAACAUGCCAAACUGAACCUGAAACUAACAUGAGCAAAUGCAUAUUGGACUGCGUUAACCAAUUUUCUGAAAAAGAAAAGUGAUGCUCAAGUUAUUAGCCUAUUGGUUAUCCAUAAGUAAAUCUAGAAACAACUUUUUGUUGUUUUUAUAAUCAGGGGCUACAGGCCACUGGUGAUGGACUUCAUGAGAAAG